AUACGGAGGGUGCAAGCGUUGUUCGGAAUUACUGGGCGUAAAGCGCGCGUAGGUGGUCUGUUAUGUCAGAUGUGAAAGUCCACGGCUCAACCGUGGAAGUGCAUUUGAAACUGGCAGACUUGAGUACUUGAGGGGGUAGUGGAAUUCCCGGUGUAGAGGUGAAAUUCGUAGAUAUCGGGAGGAAUACCGGUGGCGAAGGCGACUACCUGGCCAGAUACUGACACUGAGGUGCGAAAGCGUGGGGAGCGAACAGUAUUAGAAACCCUAGUAGUCC
rnacentral:rRNA from 1 species